rnacentral:rRNA from 1 species
CAGUCGACGAUGAAGCCCAGCUUGCUGGGUGGAUUAGUGGCGAACGGGUGAGUAACACGUGAGUAACCUGCCCUUAACUCUGGGAUAAGCCUGGGAAACUGGGUCUAAUACCGGAUAGGAGCGCCUACCGCAUGGUGGGUGUUGGAAAGAUUUAUCGGUUUUGGAUGGACUCGCGGCCUAUCAGCUUGUUGGUGAGGUAAUGGCUCACCAAGGCGACGACGGGUAGCCGGCCUGAGAGGGUGACCGGCCACACUGGGACUGAGACACGGCCCAGACUCCUACGGGAGGCAGCAGUGGGGAAUAUUGCACAAUGGGCGCAAGCCUGAUGCAGCGACGCCGCGUGAGGGAUGACGGCCUUCGGGUUGUAAACCUCUUUCAGUAGGGAAGAAGCGAAAGUGACGGUACCUGCAGAAGAAGCACCGGCUAACUACGUGCCAGCAGCCGCGGUAAUACGUAGGGUGCGAGCGUUAUCCGGAAUUAUUGGGCGUAAAGAGCUCGUAGGCGGUUUGUCGCGUCUGUCGUGAAAGUCCGGGGCUUAACCCCGGAUCUGCGGUGGGUACGGGCAGACUAGAGUGCAGUAGGGGAGACUGGAAUUCCUGGUGUAGCGGUGGAAUGCGCAGAUAUCAGGAGGAACACCGAUGGCGAAGGCAGGUCUCUGGGCUGUAACUGACGCUGAGGAGCGAAAGCAUGGGGAGCGAACAGGAUUAGAUACCCUGGUAGUCCAUGCCGUAAACGUUGGGCACUAGGUGUGGGGACCAUUCCACGGUUUCCGCGCCGCAGCUAACGCAUUAAGUGCCCCGCCUGGGGAG